rnacentral:rRNA from 1 species
GAUGAACGCUGGCGGCGUGCCUAAUACAUGCAAGUCGAGCGAAUGGAUUAAGAGCUUGCUCUUAUGAAGUUAGCGGCGGACGGGUGAGUAACACGUGGGUAACCUGCCCAUAAGACUGGGAUAACUCCGGGAAACCGGGGCUAAUACCGGAUAACAUUUUGAACCGCAUGGUUCGAAAUUGAAAGGCGGCUUCGGCUGUCACUUAUGGCUGGACCCGUGUCGCAGUAGCUAGUUGGUGAGGUAACGGCUCACCAAGGCAACGAUGCGUAGCCGACCUGAGAGGGUGAUCGGCCACACUGGGACUGAGACACGGCCCAGACUCCUACGGGAGGCAGCAGUAGGGAAUCUUCCGCAAUGGACGAAAGUCUGACGGAGCAACGCCGCGUGAGUGAUGAAGGCUUUCGGGUCGUAAAACUCUGUUGUUAGGGAAGAACAAGUGCUAGUUGAAUAAGCUGGCACCUUGACGGUACCUAACCAGAAAGCCACGGCUAACUACGUGCCAGCAGCCGCAGUAA